UACGUAGGGGGCGAGCGUUGUCCGGAGUUACUGGGCGUAAAGCGCACGCAGGCGGUCUGCUAAGUUUGGAGUGACAGUUGGUGGCUUAACUGCCAAAGUGCUUCGAAAACUGACAGACUUGAGGGCUUCAGAGGGACACGGAAUUCCGGGUGGAGUGGUGAAAUGCGCAGAUAUCGGGAGGAACACCGGUGGCGAAGGCGGUUCUCUGGGCCUGUACUGACGCUGAGGAGCGAAAGCGUGGGGAGCGAACAGG
rnacentral:rRNA from 1 species